rnacentral:rRNA from 1 species
UACAGAGGGUGCGAGCGUUAAUCGGAAUUACUGGGCGUAAAGCGUGCGUAGACGGUUAUGUAAGUCGGAUGUGAAAGCCCCGGGCUCAACCUGGGAAUUGCAUUCGAGACUGCAUAGCUAGGAUGCGGAAGAGGGAAGUGGAAUUUCCGGUGUAGCGGUGAAAUGCGUAGAUAUCGGAAGGAACAUCAGUGGCGAAGGCGGAUCUCUGGGCCGAUACUGACGCUGAGGAGCGAAAGCGUGGGGAGCGAACAGG